CCCUAGUAACGGCGAGUGAAGCGGCAACAGCUCAAAUUUGAAAUCUGGCUCCCUUGGGGGUCCGAGUUGUAAUUUGUAGAGGGUGCUUUGGUAUUAGCUGUGGUCUAAGACCCUUGGAACAGGGCGUCACAGAGGGUGAGAAUCCCGUAUGUGGCCAGCAGCUCUUGCCUUGUAAAGCCCCUUCGACGAGUCGAGUUGUUUGGGAAUGCAGCUCUAAAUGGGAGGUAAAUUUCUUCUAAAGCUAAAUACUGGCCAGAGACCGAUAGCGCACAAGUAGAGUGAUCGAAAGAUGAAAAGCACUUUGGAAAGAGAGUCAAAAAGCACGUGAAAUUGUUGAAAGGGAAGCGCUUGCAGCCAGACUUGCCCGUAGUUGUUCAUCUAGGCUUCUGCCUGGUGCACUCUUCUGCGGGCAGGCCAGCAUCAGUCCAGGCGGUCGGAUAAAGGCCUUGGGAAUGUGGCUCCUUUCGGGGAGUGUUAUAGCCCAGGGUGCCAUGCGGCCAGCCUGAACUGAGGUCCGCGCUUCUGCUAGGAUGCUGGCGUAAUGGCUGUAAGCGGCCCGUCUUGAAACACGGACCAAGGAGUCUAACAUCUAUGCGAGUGUUUGGGUGUCAAGCCCGAGCGCGCAAUGAAAGUGAACGGAGGUGGGAACCCCUCGGGGUGCACCAUCGACCGAUCCUGAUGUCUUCGGAUGGAUUUGAGUAAGAGCAUAGCUGUUGGGACCCGAAAGAUGGUGAACUAUGCCUGAAUAGGGUGAAGCCAGAGGAAACUCUGGUGGAGGCUCGCAGCGGUUCUGACGUGCAAAUCGAUCGUC
rnacentral:rRNA from 1 species